AUGUUUGCUUCAAGAGAAAGUAACCUUGUGAGUUAGCUAGCAAGUCUUCUAUAAAAGGAACACAAAUGUUUAAGAGACAUCCAAUAUCCUUAGCUCUCCUCUUACUAGUUCAGAAAUUCUACUAAUUACAAGCUCUAACAAAGAUUCAUGGCUAGUGAUGGACCAAGUUGGGCAGAUCAAUGGGGUGCAGGAGGGAUAGGUGCCAUGGAUGAAGAUGACAGCUAUUAUAAGAGCAACAAAGACAGUGAAAAUAAGAAGAAAGCCACUACUUCUUCAUCAUCAGCAGGAAUUGGCAAAGUCAAAGCAGUGGCAGUGGCGGGUGCACACAAGGUGAAAAAUGGUCCUUCCAUGUUCAUCAAAUGGGUUAGGAGCAAAUCCCAAAAGAAAAAUUCCUCCAUUUCAUGAAAUAGAGAAGGAUUAAAGAUUAUCUAGUCUUUAUCUUGCCUUCUGUAAGAGGAUUUCAGAUCAAACAUGUCUAUUUGGGGGGGCUUCAAAUAGAGAUCAUGGAUUGUUAUGCUUCAUUUAUAUCUCGACUUGUUUAGGUUUAACCAAUUUCAUUUGGUUAGUGUUGUUAGCUCCUGGUAGUGUCUUGUUUCGGGGUGAGUUUAAGUACCAUGCCCUGAUGGUGUCAAGAAUAUGUAUGCAAUCAGACUACUAAUAAGGUAAAUAAUUACAGAUUAAGUCUCUCUAA